rnacentral:rRNA from 1 species
GUGGGGAAUAUUGGACAAUGGGCGAAAGCCUGAUCCAGCCAUGCCGCGUGUGUGAAGAAGGUCUUCGGAUUGUAAAGCACUUUAAGUUGGGAGGAAGGGCAGUAAGUUAAUACCUUGCUGUUUUGACGUUACCGACAGAAUAAGCACCGGCUAACUUCGUGCCAGCAGCCGCGGUAAUACGAAGGGUGCAAGCGUUAAUCGGAAUUACUGGGCGUAAAGCGCGCGUAGGUGGUUUUGUAAGUUGGAGGUGAAAUCCCCGGGCUCAACCUAGGAACUGCCUCAAAAACUGCAUGACUAGAGUACGGUAGAGGGUAGUGGAAUUUCCUGUGUAGCGGUGGAAUGCGUAGAUAUAGGAAGGAACACCAGUGGCGAAGGCGACUACCUGGACUGAUACUGACACUGAGGUGCGAAAGCGUAGGGAGCAAACAGGAUUAGAAACCCCUGUAGUCC